AAGAAACUCCAGAGCCUACUCCAAGAUGCUUGUGGUCCUGCUGACAGUGGCCUUGCUGGCCCUGAGUUCAGCUCAGAGCUCAAGUGAAGUUCUCGUCCACUGCUGAGAGAUGGCUCCCAAGUGAAAAGUGAAAUGAGAAAAUAACAUUCAAAAGUUAUGUCACUCAAGCUGUGGAUGGUGCUGUGCAUUUUUCAUCCCAACACUCAAGACUAAAUUCAAGAUCGGCCCAUGCCACACACCAAGACCCCAUCUCAUUUAUAUACAAAUUAAAGAGAGCAUAUCACUUGAAGCAUAACUUCAGCUUCACAAUAAAC